UCAAAUCUGUCUAACGCUUACCCUUUACUGUAGAGUCUAAUGUUAGAAGAUGGCCAAAUAAUGUCGUGUCCAAGGGAAGAAUUGACCCUUACACUACUGAAAGAAUACUGUUUGGAAAACAUGAAAAUUGAAAGGGUGGAAUUUCAUAUCUCCUCUUUGACUAUCUUGGUGACAUUGUUUUUUCCAGGUGAAUAAUGCAGCUAUUGGGGGAAUAGCAUCGAAUACUCAGCUACUGGAUUCCUCCAAGCAAGCGAUGCAGCCAGUUAGCUCAUCAGGCCUGACAAAUGCAAUUGUAGAGACUUAUGAAUUAGCCGAAGAUUGCAUCAACACAAACUAUUAUGGUCCAAAAAGAGUGACAGAGGCAUUUAUCCCUCUGCUUUAGUCAUCCCAAUCACCAAGGAUAGUGAAUGUAUCCUCACUCUAUGGGAAACUGCAGUACAUCCGCAGCGAAAGAAUCAAAGAAGAGCUAAGGAAUUUG